rnacentral:miRNA from 1 species
UCCAGUUGGUCCUUUAGGU